rnacentral:rRNA from 1 species
UACGUAGGGGGCUAGCGUUGUCCGGAAUCAUUGGGCGUAAAGCGCGCGUAGGCGGCCCGGUAAGUCCGCUGUGAAAGUCAAAGGCUCAACCUUUGAAUGUCAGCGGAUACUGCCGGGCUAGAGUCCGGAAGAGGAGAAUGGAAUUCCUGGUGUAGCGGUGGAAUGCGCAGAUAUCAGGAAGAACACCCGUGGCGAAGGCGGUUCUCUGGGACGGUACUGACGCUGAGACGCGAAAGCGUGGGGAGCGAACAGG